CGAAUGCUGACAUAAGUAACGAUAAAGCGGGUGAAAAGCCCGCUCGCCGGAAGACCAAGGGUUCCUGUCCAACGUUAAUCGGGGCAGGGUGAGUCGACCCCUAAGGCGAGGCCGAAAGGCGUAGUCGAUGGGAAACAGGUUAAUAUUCCUGUACUUGGUGUUACUGCGAAGGGGGGACGGAGAAGGCUAUGUUGGCCGGGCGACGGUUGUCCCGGUUUAAGCGUGUAGGCUGGUUUUCCAGGCAAAUCCGGAAAAUCAAGGCUGAGGCGUGAUGACGAGGCACUACGGUGCUGAAGCAACAAAUGCCCUGCUUCCAGGAAAAGCCUCUAAGCAUCAGGUAACAUCAAAUCGUACCCCAAACCGACACAGGUGGUCAGGUAGAGAAUACCAAGGCGCUUGAGAGAACUCGGGUGAAGGAACUAGGCAAAAUGGUGCCGUAACUUCGGGAGAAGGCACGCUGAUAUGUAGGUGAAGUCCCUCGCGGAUGGAGCUGAAAUCAGUCGAAGAUACCAGCUGGCUGCAACUGUUUAUUAAAAACACAGCACUGUGCAAACACGAAAGUGGACGUAUACGGUGUGACGCCUGCCCGGUGCCGGAAGGUUAAUUGAUGGGGUUAGCGCAAGCGAAGCUCUUGAUCGAAGCCCCGGUAAACGGCGGCCGUAACUAUAACGGUCCUAAGGUAGCGAAAUUCCUUGUCGGGUAAGUUCCGACCUGCACGAAUGGCGUAAUGAUGGCCAGGCUGUCUCCACCCGAGACUCAGUGAAAUUGAACUCGCUGUGAAGAUGCAGUGUACCCGCGGCAAGACGGAAAGACCCCGUGAACCUUUACUAUAGCUUGACACUGAACAUUGAGCCUUGAUGUGUAGGAUAGGUGGGAGGCUUUGAAGUGUGGACGCCAGUCUGCAUGGAGCCGACCUUGAAAUACCACCCUUUAAUGUUUGAUGUUCUAACGUUGACCCGUAAUCCGGGUUGCGGACAGUGUCUGGUGGGUAGUUUGACUGGGGCGGUCUCCUCCUAAAGAGUAACGGAGGAGCACGAAGGUUGGCUAAUCCUGGUCGGACAUCAGGAGGUUAGUGCAAUGGCAUAAGCCAGCUUGACUGCGAGCGUGACGGCGCGAGCAGGUGCGAAAGCAGGUCAUAGUGAUCCGGUGGUUCUGAAUGGAAGGGCCAUCGCUCAACGGAUAAAAGGUACUCCGGGGAUAACAGGCUGAUACCGCCCAAGAGUUCAUAUCGACGGCGGUGUUUGGCACCUCGAUGUCGGCUCAUCACAUCCUGGGGCUGAAGUAGGUCCCAAGGGUAUGGCUGUUCGCCAUUUAAAGUGGUACGCGAGCUGGGUUUAGAACGUCGUGAGACAGUUCGGUCCCUAUCUGCCGUGGGCGCUGGAGAACUGAGGGGGGCUGCUCCUAG
rnacentral:rRNA from 1 species